CCUACGGGGGGCAGCAGUGAGGAAUAUUGGUCAAUGGACGAGAGUCUGAACCAGCCAAGUAGCGUGAAGGAUGACUGCCCUAUGGGUUGUCAACUUCUUUUAUAUGGGAAUAAAAUGUUCCACGUGUGGGAUUUUGUAUGUACCAUAUGAAUAAGGAUCGGCUAACUCCGUGCCAGAAGCCGCGGUACUACGGAGGUUCCGAGCGUUAUCCGGAUUGAUUGGGUGUAAAGGGAGCGUAGGUGGAUUGUUAAGUCAGUUGGGAAAGUUUGGGGCUCAACCGUGAAAUUGCAGUUGAAACUGGCAGUCUUGAGUACAGGAGAGGUGGGCGGAAUUCGAGGUGUAGCGGUGAAAUGCUUAGAUAUCACGAAGAACACCGAUUGCGAAGGCAGCUCACUGGACUGCAACUGACACUGAGGCUCGAAAGUGUGGGUAGCAAACAGGAUUAGAUACCCUUGUAGUC
rnacentral:rRNA from 1 species